UUAUCUUAACCCAGACAUUUUUUUCUCUGAUAAUAACUCUUUCAACCAAUUGCCGAUCACAAUAUGUUUAAAUCUACCUAUGACCUAGAAGCCCCUCCCCACACUGAGUUGUCCUACCCUUCUAGAUCUAACCAAUGUAAAUCUUACAUGUACUGAUUGGUGUAUAUGUCUUCCCUAAGAUGUAUAAAAGCAAGCUGUACCCCAACUAUUUUGGGGUACAGCUUCUGAGGCUGUGUCAUGGGUGCAUCCUUAACCUUGGCAAAAUUAACUUUCUAAAUUGACUGAGACCUCUCUCAGAUUCUGAGUUCACCGCGUUAACAAAUGGUCUGUAUUACAGUGAGAAAACUUUGCUAAACAAAGUAAAUUAUCCUUAAUUGCAGUAUUAGUCAUUUCAAAGAAUGAAUGUUAAUGUAAACUUUUACAUGAUGUCAGCCUUUGAAAAAGUGAUGUCUUUCCAGACUACCCCUUUGUUUAACAUUUCUUCAGAAAUAUCACAUUGUUUUCAUUACUGCAGGCAGAGAAUCAUAUUAGAAAUCAUAUUAAAAAAUUAUCUCAGUACUUUGAUAUGAAACCUAUGUUUUACUCAUUGAAGGCACUGUUAUCCAACAGAACUUUUUAUGAUGAUGGAAAUAUUCUGUAUCUACACUGUACAGUUUGGUAGUCACCAGCUAUUGAGAGCUUGAAAUGUGGCCAGUGUGACUGAUGAACUGAAUUUUUAAUUGUUUCAUUUUAAUUAAAAAUUAAAUUAAUAGCAACAUGUAUCUAGUGGCUACCAUGUUGGACUGCAUUGAUUUUACGUCCUCCUGCUAGGUGAUAGAUGUAUCGGGGAUUGAAUUAUGACUCUGAUGGUGCAUAUGUGUAUCUGUUUAGUCCUUUGAACUUUUAUAAUCCUGCCUGAGAUACUAUAACAUGCAAGCACCUUGUUUUCAAAUAGCCACAUUUAUGUGAAAAGAAGAGGAAUUGUGUCCUGAAAAUUAAGUUAAGUUUAGGUUAAACCUGAAACUUAACUUAAUUUUAAAAAUCCUCUGACUUUUUAACAAACCCAUUGAUUAAAUUGCAUUUGCCCUUUGGAUGUGUCUCAAACCCUGAAGGUUUUCUUCUGUGCUUUUGAGUUAAAAUGCAGAUAGCAUACAACAGGUGAUUGCAAAGUGGAGGGACUGAUGAAAACAAAACAAGAGCAACCACAAACCAGAACUUAUAUCUACUGUGUACGAAUUUUAUUUGAAAGUUGGUAUGCUUUUCUGUGUCCUUAAGUAUAGCAAGUCUUCCUACUUUGAGGAUAAAUUUGGGUAUUAUAAAGAGGCAAUUUGUGCUUAUGUCUGGUAAAUAAUGAUAAAAUACUUGAGUAAUGCUUUAUAAUUUGCCAGGCAGUUGCAAUUUCAUCUUCUCCUUGGAAUAUUAGCCCCAUUCUACAGACAAGAGAAAGAUGAUUUAAUCAAGAUUUUAAGGCUCAUUCAUUUCGCAAACACUUAUUGAUCACUUACUAUUGAUUACCUUACUAUUCAUGUAGAUUUCUAUGUUAGGAAUGAAAGAACAGUUCCUCCCCUGGAGGAAUUAACAAUCUAGUUGGGACAGUUAAACAAAGAAACAAUAAAUUAUACUGUACUCAAUAAGAUUUUAUAUAUAUAUAUAUGCAUAGGAUGCAGUGGAAGAAGAAAGAGGAACAUCUGGCAUGGUGGUGAGACCUGAGGGAGUCAGGAAUUUCCCAGGUGAAGGAGGCAGGGGAACGGUGCCCCAGAAGAGGAUAUGUCAGGAGUAAAGCCUUUUCACAAGAUGGCGCGGAAAGCAAAGAAGGAAGCUCCUGCCCCUCCUAAAGCCGAAGCCAAAGCGAAGGCUAAGCCAAGAAGGCAGUGUUGAAAGGUGUUCACAGCCACAAAACAAAGAAGACCCGCACCCACCUUCCAGCGGCCCAAGACACCCACCUUCCGGCAGCCCAAGACACCGCGACUCCGAAGGCAGCCCACGUGUCUUCGGAAGAGCGCCCCCGGGAGAAACAAGCUUGACCACUCUGCUAUCAUCAAGUGUCCGCUGACCACUGAGUCUGCCAUGGAGAAGAGAGACGACAACAACACGCUUGUGUUCAUUGUGGAUGUUAAAGCCAACAAGCACCAGAUCAAACAGGCUGUGAAGAAGCUCUAUGACAUUGAUGUGGCCAAGGUCAACACCCUGAUUCAGCCUGGUGGAGAGAAGAAGGCAUAUGUUCGACUGGCUCCUGAUUACAGUGCUGUGGAUGUUGCCAACAAAACUGGGAUCAUCUAAAUGGAGUCCAGCUGGCUAAUUCUAAAUAUAUGUAUAUCUUUUCACCAUA